rnacentral:rRNA from 1 species
UCGGGAAUUUUGGGCAAUGGGCGAAAGCCUGACCCAGCAACGCCGCGUGAAGGAUGAAGUAUUUCGGUAUGUAAACUUCGUAAGAAUAGGAAGAAUAAAUGACGGUACUAUUUGUAAGGUCCGGCUAACUACGUGCCAGCAGCCGCGGUAAUACGUAGGGACCAAGCGUUGUUCGGAUUUACUGGGCGUAAAGCGCGUGUAGGCGGGUCGUUAAGUUGGGGGUGAAAUCCCGAGGCUCAACCUCGGAACUGCCUUCAAAACUGGCGACCUGGACCCAAGUAGAGGCAAGUGGAAUUGCGAGUGUAGAGGUGAAAUUCGUAGAUAUUCGCAGGAACACCAGUGGCGAAGGCGACUUGCUGGACUUGUGGUGACGCUGAGACGCGAAAGCGUGGGGAGCAAACAGGAUUAGAUACCCCCGUAGUCCCUGAGCGGGCUGGCAAGGCGCAU